AUGUUUAAAUAUAUGAACUAUACAAUGUUGCUGUGGAAACACUAUCCAUGAAUUUUGUGAGUAAUUCAUGUGUUUAAAAUCUCAUCUGUAACAUUCUAUUAAUGUACUAUUUGUAUGUCUUUAAAAAAAAUACAAAAACAGAGUUUUGUGCAUUUACUUGAGUUAGAUCCAAAUGAUCACACAUUGAUACAAAUAUACUGUUUGCUUGAAUGUGUAAUUAUUAAAAUAUGUAUUUCAAUGAGCAUAUUCUGAUAUAUUCACAUAGUUUGUGUUUAUCUGGAUUAUUGCACUGUGGGCUCAGCCCUGCUCCUGUCUGAAGUCAGCUGCAAAUCUUCCAAUGACUUGGCCCUUGAAACAAUAAGGAAAAUGAGCUUUACUCAUCCUAGUUGUUAUUUGUAAGCAUAACAGGUUGAUGACAGGGCUUUCAGCAGAUUGGACAGAUUGGGAAGCAGCAGUGAAAAGACAGUUUUCAUUCAGAGUUAUGAGCACCAUUUAUAGUUAUCAAGUCUUCUCCAGUGGAAAAGAAGAUGGUGAUAACCUAGGAAGAUAUCCUGCCAUCGAUAUUAUGCAAAACCAUUAGUGACAUCAAUGAGUUUGAUCCAGAGACUGACUGAAUGGAAUUUUGCCAGGCAGAGGUUCCUAAAAGAGCCCUUCCAGUGACCCUCAGAGAGCUAGACUGCUGGUUCUGAGCCCUUGAUGCACCUCAGCCAGGACAUCUGUACAAGAGAGGAGCUGCCAGUAGAGGAGACUGUGUUAUCAAAUGAGCUGUGCUGAAAAAAAGCUUCUUCCUUCCCCUUCCAAGAACAGCCACACUGCAGGCUCAAGCCACCAGCCUCCCCAUCACAUGCCAGAGGCAAGGGAGUCAAAAUAAAGGCCUUGUCCCCAGGCCAGAGAGGUACUUUGAGGAUGGGAGAGGGAGAAAAUAACCAGGGGAUUGGUGAACAACAGGACUAGACAGGAGUAAGAGAAAAAUCAGUCACUGGAGCAAAGGAGCUGCCUAGAAGUCUGGCAGGCGGAAGCAGUGUGGGGCUGGGUGGGAGGAAGGAGCGUGAUGUCUGAGGGAAGUAAGGAGACUGGUAACAGAGGAGAGGAAGUGUCCAGAUGGGAGAAGGAGCACAGAGUUGGGAGGACCCAAGGGAGGUAGGUGUGUGGGACCUGGGGAGAGAGCUGGAAAGUGGGAUUGGAGUGGAGAUGGAGGAAAGAACUAGUGUUUGGGAAGAGAGACACUAGGCUGGAGGGGUCAAGCUAAUUUAAGAGGACAACAAGCAUAUUGUGUGUGUGUAGUUUUGCAUGUUGUGCAGUCACAAAUUGGAGCAUGAUUUGGCAGGGAGGUGGUCCAGAAGAUGAUUGCUCUAAGGAGUGUUUUAUGCUAUGAACCAGUAUGCAUUGCUGCUGCUUUGGACCUGCUGCUCCUGCUCUUGUUGAAAUCAAUGGGAGUUUUGCAGUUGACUUCUUGGGAACAGGAUCCAGGCCUUCUAUGUUUACAAGAGACUCAAAAGUAGCAAAAAGUACAUUUGGUUCAUUUGUAGUUUUUUAUUAGUAAAGUAAAAAGUCUGUGAAAUUCAGACCUUUUAAUGUCCCUUCAGUUUAAAUAGUUUUUAGAGGUAAUUAUUUUAAGAACAAUUUCACAAGAUGUUACCUGAGGCAAAUCAUAUAACAUUAAAACAAAGAGUCUGUCAAAUUCCAAGUCUGUCGGAAGUUUUUAAAAUUUUUAGCCUUCUGGAAUUCCUGUGGGUCAUGAUUUAUUCUUGAUAUAUGCCAGAAGGAAAUAUAAGGCACUGAAAUAUAUACAGAAAUAAAUGUAAUUAAAUUGAAAUAAUAAUUGUAAUUAUUUGAAAGGAAGCACAAUUUGAUAUUGAUUUUAAAUGUCAUGUAAGUCAUAACCAGAUUAACAUGAUUCAAAAAAAUCUGAACUUUGUAAUAGAACAAGGCAUCUCUAAGUAUUUUUAAAUUACGAAAUUUUGCAUUCACCUAAAGCUUAGAAUAGGAAGAUGUGAUAAAAAUAAACAAGUAACAAAGACUAGAAGUUAGUGAUUCAUAGACUAUAUCUUCAAAUAAUGAACAAAAGUAUAGUUACUAAUCACUGAAGAACAGCUGCACUAGUUAUUUGAUCAUUUCUUAAAAAAUAAAAUAUAGAUGAAAACUUCAAGAUUUAAAAAAAGACGUUUAAAAAGUUAUCAGUAUAUGCUAGUUAUUUUAAGUCUCCUAGAUGGUUUUAUGGUUAGAUACCUACAGUUUGCUCAUAUGAAUGAAUUAUGUUCUUUUCUUUGCUGCUCUGUCUGGUAAAUAGAAGUCUUGUUGUCAAAUGUAGGGGCAGAUUUUGUUCAACUUACGUAUGUAGGUAGUCUCUUAACUUUAAAAAGUUGGAAUUUUUGUGUAAGACAAACAGGAUUUGGCUAGGGAUUUCUGUGCUCUUUGUUAGGGCUUCGUCCUGCAAACAUAUCCUUUUAUGUAUUUAUACCUGCUCCUGUAUUUUUCACUCCAUGCAUCUGAUGAAGUGGGUUCUAGCCCACGAAAGCUUAGGCCCAAAUAAAUUUGUUAGUCUCUAAGAUGCCACAAGGACGCCUCAUUGUUUUUACAUAUGUGAGUAGCUUUAUUCAGAUGACUAGCAUCAUGAAGCUCAAUUGGACUACCCAUCUGAGUGAAGUUACUCAAGUGCAUAAGUAUUUGCAAGAUUGCAUCCUUAAGAUGUCAGAAGACUUGUGUGUGACUCAUACAUCUAUGCAAAGACAGUACAAAUUUGAACUGAAAAGAAAAUGUACUAAAGUGACUGUUUGUGAUAGUUUAAUCGAUUAUGUAACUAUAAAUGUAUAUACAUUCUGAAACACAUUUUAUUUACAUGUACCUUGUAAUGAUUGUGUGUAGCUGCUAAAUUUUAUGUUUAAAAAAAGGAAUUAAGUAUUCAUUCUAAAAAUCUUUACAAAUAGUAGUUACUGUGCAUACUUGCAGCCAACCCAAUUUUUAGUUGCACAAGCAUAGUUCAGAAUGGUAAUCAAUUUCCUCACUUGUAUAACAUCAAAAUGAACAAAACAUAUUUUGCAAAUGUCAAGUAAAGAAAAUUCUCCUGUGCUGAGUCCUGCUGUGCCAGCUUUAGUUAAAAAUGGGAUUUAUAAUGGAAAUGCUGACACAAUCCUCUAUCUAGACUAUUACACUCAGAUUUAAUGAACACCAGUCUAUGAUCUUCAUAUUAUUAAUGUCAGUCACUUUACAUUUAAGGCAAAAAUUCUGGUUCCUUAUUUAUGCACAUAAUCCCAUUCAAGUCAAUAGAACUACCCACAUGAGCAGGGUGAGCAGGACUUGACACAAAGUACAAUGGUGGUUGUGAUGAGUCUCCUUCCACUAAAUGCACUAUAAAGCUCUUGAAUCUAGGACUCAAUCCUGCAAUGUUUACUCACCUGAAUUCAUCUUAUUUAGGCAAAUAGUCCCAUUGACUUCUCUCAGAGGAAUAGGAUUGCAGGAUCAGGCCCUUAGAUUGAUUUUCCCUCCUAAAUUUAUAUUAUAUUACAUGGGAAUGAAAGGCUCAGUCUUGUAACCCUCCCUGACAUGAGUACUUACACCAGUGAAAAUUACUGAGUCAGGUUUCCAGGGCUGGGCUCCAAAACCUCUGUAAAUGUAACUGAAAUUAUUGAUAACAAAUAAAUGCUAAAAUGAUCAGUUCCUUUAUACAUCCCUCUUCCAUUGUUUUUCACUUAGGACAAAUAAUAAGCAUUAUUGAAAUACACUUAAAAUGCGGUGAUAUGUGUUUUAUAAUUAAGGGCCUACUUAGAUUAUGAUAUUGCAGAAAUUGCAGAUUCUGCAACAUUAGGCUUAGUUCCACCUCAGUUUUGGCAGCAGGAGCCCUGGGAUAUGCACGGCUAACAGUGGGAGCCCCAGCCACUCUGGGGAUGAGAGCGGGAGCCCCUACUGUCAGUCCUGGGUGGCCGCUGUCAGCCCUGGACCCCCGCUAUCAGCUCAAAGCAGCUGUCAGCAGGAGCCCCCACCCUCAGCCCCAGGCAGCUGACAGCGGGAAACCCUGCUCUCAGCCCUGGGCAGCCGACAGUGGAAGCCCCCUGCUCUCCUAAUACAAUAUCAUGGAAAAGUAAUAAUGGACUUUAUUAGCUCAAAUAAUAAGGUCCAUUAUUACUUUUCUGCAAUUUUCCAUGGCUUGUCCGCAACUCAGCCGCAAUUUUUUGACAAUCAUCCCGCAGUUCAAGUAGGGCCUUAUUUAUAAUAUGGUACAGUUGAAGUCCCUGGGUGUUUUGUAUUACUGAAUAGUUUUAUGCAAGGAUAUCUGUAUAUAAGUGUAAUCUCACAUUCAUUCUCAGCAAAAUUCAGCUAAAUUCAUGAUAUAUUAAGCCACAACUGGAGGAAGAGGAAAUGAGCAAUUUUCCAAUUUAUGUAAUUUAAGAGAAAUAUGGGUUAGGGAGCGGGUUAAUGGCUAUUGGCUGUAUUAGAUAAAUACACAUCUAUCUACUAGACAGUGAAACACUGUUAAAGGUGGAAGAAGCCUCAAAACUUCAAUGUGUCUGUGAUUCUCUAUGGCCAUGUAGGACACAAGUGCUGGGUGUAUUUUUGUUGAAUAGGACCCUUAGAUUUAUAGAAGAUCACAAAUAUUACUAUUUUCUGUAUUGGUUUUAUAAUAAUAGGUUGUUCCAUCUUAUAUUGUUUGGCUUGAGAUUUUAACGAAUUUAACCAAAUCAUGUAUUUAAAACAUAUAGAACAAAUUCAGAAAAUAAAAGCUGUUUUAGGGUUGCUUGCUUAUCUUUUUGGGAAUGGAAUGUUUUGAAUUGUACAAUUGAAUGGAUUAUUUUAAUUGGGGAAAAAAAAAGAUUAAAGAUUUCCAGGUGCAUAAACAGACACACAUCUUCUCUGUAAGCAGGUUAGCAAAUUAUUUGUAUAUAUUGCAAAGAAAGCAAAAUAAAAUCUGUGAAAAUCUGGAAAUGCUGAAUACAUAAAGAAACCAAUUGUUAAAACGAUGUAAAUGUUAUUACAGUAUUUUAAAUGCCAGUUAACUGUGUAAUGGCAAAAGUAGCAGGGCUAUAACAUUUAAGCCAUACGUGGUCAUAUGUUUUUCAUGUUUUGUAUUUCCAGUGAGGUAAAGUUUCUCUUGGACACUGAUUGGAAGGUAUGUAGUGUAGCAACCUGCAAUGUGAGAAAAAACACAGUUAAUUACAGUCAUUUUUAGUUAACGUCAGGGAAUGUGGAUAAAAGAAGCAAUUUUGGAUUAUGUUCUUUUGAAAGAUUUGUGUUAAACAUAAGUAUCCCAGAGUGUGAUACUGAGGAGCCUACACAAUGACCGUGGCUAUCUAUGCCCUUUGUAUUUUUUUUUAUAAAACAUUUUUGCUUUACUGAAGUUGAAUUUCAGGUACGUAAACUAAGCACUCAGUUAUAUAAUUCAAAUAGGAACUCAGGAAAUUUAGAAUCGACUUCAUAUAAUGACAGAAAGGGAGAGGGAGACUAAGGGGCCCCUCCUGCAGCUAUAGGGAGCUCCUGUGCAGUUGAGCAGGUGUGGUUCUCCUGCACAAGGGAGGAAGCUGGCUGGAUGCCAAGGGUCACACGGGGAUGUACAUCUCCUGCCUGUCAUAGAGCUGAUUGUGCAGGGUCUCUGCAUCACAGCAUGUAGGAGGAGAGUGGGGAGGCUGGGCUUGAGCCGUGUCAGGGAUCUGCUGCUCUGUGGAUCCUGCCAUUCUCCACCCCAUAGGCGGGCUGUGCUAAGGGCUGCAGAAUGCACUCUGCAGCCCUGGAGUUGCUUGGAUGGGAAGAUCCCUUUCCAUUAGGCUUUGUACAUUUCAGUGCGUGUUGUGACUACUUGAGCUAGGUGCUGAUGUCUGGAUUUUAGCCCAAAUGUAUUAAGCAGCAGAGAACUGAUAUUUCCUAUUCUUAAACAUUAAA